AUCCAGAUGACGAGUCCUAAAUAGGAUGAAACACGAGUCUUGGAU
rnacentral:hammerhead_ribozyme from 1 species